UGGGGAAUUUUGGACAAUGGGCGAAAGCCUGAUCCAGCAAUGCCGCGUGUGUGAAGAAGGCCUUCGGGUUGUAAAGCACUUUUGUCCGGAAAGAAAUCCUUGGCUCUAAUACAGUCGGGGGAUGCGGUACCGGAAGAAUAAGCACCGGCUAACUACGUGCCAGCAGCCGCGGUAAUACGUAGGGUGCAAGCGUUAAUCGGAAUUACUGGGCGUAAAGCGUGCACAGGCGGUUUGCUAAGACCGAUGUGAAAUCCCCGGGCUCAACCUGGGAACUGCAUUGGUGACUGGCAGGCUAGAGUAUGGCAGAGGGGGGUAGAAUUCCACGUGUAGCAGUGAAAUGCGUAGAGAUGUGGAGGAAUACCGAUGGCGAAGGCAGCCCCCUGGGCCAAUACUGACGCUCAUGCACGAAAGCGUGGGGAGCAAACAGGAUUAGAUACCCUGGUAGUCCACGCCCU
rnacentral:rRNA from 1 species